rnacentral:rRNA from 1 species
CUUGGUCAUUUAGAGGAAGUAAAAGUCGUAACAAGGUUUCCGUANGUGAACCUGCGGAAGGAUCAUUAAUGAAUUCAGAUUGAACCAUAGGCGAAAGCCAGUGGUUCUUCUUUCAUAUCCAUAACACUUGUGCACUGUUGGAUGCUUGCAUCCACUUUUAAACUAAACAUUAUUGUAACAAAUGUAGUCUUAUUAUAACAUAAUAAAACUUUCAACAACGGAUCUCUUGGCUCUCGCAUCGAUGAAGAACGCAGCGAAAUGCGAUAAGUAAUGUGAAUUGCAGAAUUCAGUGAAUCAUCGAAUCUUUGAACGCACCUUGCGCUCCUUGGUAUUCCGAGGAGCAUGCCUGUUUGAGUGUCAUGAAACCCUCAAACCCAAGUUUUGGAUUUCGAUCCAUGCUUGAGUUUGGAUUUGGAUGUUUGCCGGUGAUGAACCGACUCAUCUUAAAAGUAUUAGCUUGGAUCUGUCUAUAUGACUGGUUUGACUUGGCAUAAUAAGUAUUUUGCUGAGGACAUCUUCGGAUGGCCAGGACCUAAACUACUGUCUGCUAACUAAACCAUCACUUUAAGUGCAUCUUUGGAUGUUACUUAUNGUGNAACUUUGACAUCUGGCCUCAAAUCAAGUAGGACUACCCGCUGAACUUAAGCCUAUCAACACCUGCUUGAGGGUCAGUA